CCCAUGUUGGUAAAAAUAUUUUCUUCACCUUUCAGCAAGCAGACAAGAAACAGAAUAUUUCUGCAUGCUCUGAAGGGAAGAGCAGCCCCCUCUAUUAUAUGCCAUCAGGGCUUUCCAGAAGCAAAUUCCCCAAGGCUCCACCUGGGCUGGCAACAAAGAGUGCCCUGUCUGUAGGCUAAGAAUUGGGCUCUCAUUGGCCAGACCCAGGGCUAAACUGUAGGGACUAUGGUUAACAUUUCAGGGUGAGCAUUAAUACCUUGGAAAUCAGAAAGAAAUGGAGAAAGUGUUAAUAAUGCAGAUUAAACUUAAAAGGGUUAAUUUUUUGGUUUUUAAACAUAGGCUUGGACCCAGACCCUUCUCUUCCUUCUCUCCCCAUCCUUAAGCAGUCCCUAUCCUCAAUGAGCUUACGUUGUAAUCGCACCAAAGGAGUCCCAAGCUUUAAGAGAAACCAAGUAGACAACGGUUUUGGUAAAGGGAGAGAGCAUGGCAGGUAUGAUAGGCAAUCAUGUAAAGCUUGGGGAUGGAAUGUUUUGAUGGAGUGUUUGAGGAACAGUAAGCCAUUAUCACUUGAUUGUUGAGUACAUGGAAGAGAAUCAAGUAUGAGAAAACUGGAAAGAUGAGAAGGGGCCAGGUUGUGAAGAGCCUUGAAUGCUAAACAGAGGGUUUUAUAUUUGAUCUUGGAGGUUCUGGGACACUGAUUUUAAACAGCUCUAACUUCCUGAUUCUACAAGUCUUCUUCCCUGAUUAAUUUCCUCUACCGCUGGUUACUCCUUUAUUGAGUACCUUUACAAAGAAGAAGUAUGGGAAGAGAAUUUGCAUUUAUAUGGCAACUAUUAUAUGUCAGACACUAAGCUAAGUGUUGUUUUUUUUUUUUUACAAUUAUCUCACAAUACCCCUGUGAGAUUCCGGGAUCUUCCCUCAAGAGUAAAGAGAGAGAGUCUCUUUCAGAAAAGUGGCUGCAGGAUGGCUGUAAAGGUCAUAGCUCCAGGCCUCCUCUUAGAUAAGAAUUCAAGAAAUAUAUUUCAAGUAUUGAUUGGUGCUGCCAUCUGAGCUCAGGAAUCACUUGCCUUCUUCAGAAUUGGAUCCAAUUCUCAAGUAUUCUUUCCUCAUGGUGGAAGCAAGGUGAAUGGAGAAAGGGGAACAGCUGUUGCUUGACACCAGUCAGUCAGUGGUCUAAAAAUGACCCAUUCAAUAUGACAUGCUUCCAUCAGAUGGACUUCUAAGGAAAGAAAAAUCCUUCAAUUCAAACAAGACAGAAAAAUGUGGAAAGAGAUGUUGUCAAUGUCAUUUCUGAGAGCUCUUUCUCCCAAAGACAUUUUUGUCUUUUUUGACUUACCCUUUUCAGACAACAGUCAUGCCAGUUGUGCAUGUCCUUUCUUUGGGCACAAUAAAUUUGCAUUGUUUUCAUUGUCCUUAAUUAUU
rnacentral:lncRNA from 1 species